rnacentral:rRNA from 1 species
GAUGAACGCUGGCGGCGUGCCUAAUACAUGCAAGUCGAGCGAACAGAUGAGGAGCUUGCUCCUCUUACGUUAGCGGCGGACGGGUGAGUAACACGUGGAUAACCUACCUAUAAGACUGGGAUAACUUCGGGAAACCGGAGCUAAUACCGGAUAAUAUAUUGAACCGCAUGGUUCAAUAGUGAAAGACGGAUUUGCUGUCACUUAUAGAUGUAUCCGCGCCGCAUUAGCUAGUUGGUAAGGUAACGGCUUACCAAGGCAACGAUGCGUAGCCGACCUGAGAGGGUGAUCGGUCACACUGGAACUGAGACACGGUCCAGACUCCUACGGGAGGCAGCAGUAGGGAAUCUUCCGCAAUGGGCGAAAGCCUGACGGAGCAACGCCGCGUGAGUGAUGAAGGUCUUCGGAUCGUAAAACUCUGUUAUUAGGGAAGAACAAAUGUGUAAGUAACUAUGCACGUCUUGACGGUACCUAAUCAGAAAGCCACGGCUAACUACGUG